ACCGGGAAGAUGGCGGCGGCGUUGACCUUCCGCCGGCUGCUGGCUCUCCCCAGUGCUGCGCGGGGUUUCGGGGUGCGAGUGUCGUCGAGCGGGGAGAAGAUCACGCACACCGGCCAGGUAACGGCCGCCGCCGCCGCCGCGCCUGGAGCCCGAGACUGACGGUGGCGGGGCGCCUAGCAAGGUUUAUGAUGAAAAAGACUAUAGGAGGAUUCGGUUUGUAGAUCGUCAGAAAGAGGUGAAUGAGAACUUUGCCAUUGAUUUGAUAGCAGAGCAGCCGGUGAAUGAGGUGGACCAUCGGAUCAUAGCCUGCGAUGGCGGUGGUGGUGCCCUGGGCCACCCCAAAGUGUACAUAAAUUUGGACAAAGAAACAAAAACGGGGACAUGUGGCUACUGUGGCCUGCAGUUCAAGCAGCAUCAUCAUUAGUGUGGCUGACCUGGUCCUCUGACACCGGUGCAAUACCUGUCUCCACGUGAGGUGUUUAGGUGUGACGUCACCGCUCUGUGAACGGUGUCCCUUCUUAUGAAUAAAAGAUGCUACCAUCAUGGACA